CAGACAGACGGUGGCUAUGAUGAUUGUUAUUCUCCAAAGGCCCUUCUCUAGGACCCACAGCCUCCAGACCCCCCUAGCGUUCCCCUCUGCUGACCAGGCCUCUAGGUUUAGCUUGAUUGGCCCCCAGCCCUGGCCCAUCAGGGAUCCCCCCAGCCCACUGGGCCCUGGGACCCAGCCCACCUGCCCCAGGAUCAAACAGGAGCCCCAACCUGCUUCUUCCUCACACCUUGCAGAUCCGGAUCUGGGCCCGGCCCAGUGCCAUUGCGGUGGGCCACGGCGAUUAUGCCCUGAACGUGACGGGCCCCAUCCUUAACUUCUUUGCUGGUCAUUAUGACACACCCUACCCACUCCCAAAAUCAGACCAGAUUGGCCUGCCGGACUUCAACGCCGGCGCCAUGGAGAACUGGGGACUGGUGACCUACCGGGAGAACUCCCUGCUGUUCGACCCCCUGUCCUCCUCCAGCAGCAACAAGGAGCGGGUGGUCACUGUGAUUGCUCAUGAGCUGGCCCACCAGUGGUUCGGGAACCUGGUG
rnacentral:sRNA from 1 species